UGCAGUCGACGCACGAAGUUGAGAGCUUGCUCUUUACCAAGUGAGUGGCGGACGGGUGAGUAACACGUGGGUAACCUGCCCAUUAGAGGGGGAUAACAUUCGGAAACGGAUGCUAAUACCGCAUAGUUUCAGGAAUCGCAUGAUUCUUGAAGGAAAGGUGGCUUCGGCUACCACUAAUGGAUGGACCCGCGGCGUAUUAGCUAGUUGGUGAGGUAAUGGCUCACCAAGGCAAUGAUACGUAGCCGACCUGAGAGGGUGAUCGGCCACACUGGGACUGAGACACGGCCCAGACUCCUACGGGAGGCAGCAGUAGGGAAUCUUCCGCAAUGGACGAAAGUCUGACGGAGCAACGCCGCGUGAGUGAAGAAGGUUUUCGGAUCGUAAAACUCUGUUGUUAAAGAAGAACAAGGAUGAGAGUAACUGCUCAUCCCCUGACGGUAUUUAACCAGAAAGCCACGGCUAACUACGUGCCAGCAGCCGCGGUAAUACGUAGGUGGCAAGCGUUGUCCGGAUUUAUUGGGCGUAAAGCGAGC
rnacentral:rRNA from 1 species